UACAGAGGGUGCAAGCGUUAAUCGGAAUUACUGGGCGUAAAGCGUGCGCAGGCGGUUCGACAAGUCCGAUGUGAAAGCCCCGGGCUCAACCUGGGAAUGGCAUUGGAAACUGGCGAGCUUGAGUGUGGCAGAGGGGGGUGGAAUUCCGCGUGUAGCGGUGAAAUGCGUAGAUAUCUGAAGGAACAUCAGUGGCGAAAGCGACUUCCUGGACCAAUACUGACGCUCAUGUGCGAAAGCGUGGGGAGCAAACAGG
rnacentral:rRNA from 1 species